GUGUGCACGUCAGGGGCACAUACAUUAAAACUGGAACAAUACAGAAGAGUAGCCUGGCCCCUGAACAAGAUGACAUGCAAAUUCGUGACAUGCUCCAUAUCCUU
ensembl:snRNA Gm23167 U6 spliceosomal RNA